UUCGACUAUGUUUAUUUAAGUGGAAAAGAGGAUGACCAGGUUCAAUGUACCUAUAAAAGGAAUCCAUUGAAAUAAUAGCCCUUCAAUUCCAUUUGCAACUUGAGAAUUUCUAUAAAGAAGAUGUGAUUGGUGAAAUGAAAAUAUGAAAUUCAAAAAACAAAAGAUGUAAUUGUUUCAUUAUUAUUUCUUCUUCUAUGAGUUGGUUCAGGAAGUUGAUCAGUCUUUAGCCAUGAAGAAAAUUACGCACACUACAUUUUCUACAAUAACGCAAGCAAUUAGGUACCGGUCACAUAUAUGAAAUAGUCGAGGUGUACGUAAGUUAGUGUGGAUGCUACAUGUGCAAUUAUCACCAUAAUUAAAACAAAAAACUUAUUCGAAUGAAUCAUACAACAAGUGAUGGAGAUAGAAUUUUUAUCAAGGAGUUAGCUAGGCUUAUCCUCUACUAUAUAUACAUAUAAAAAUGAUUUUAUAUAUGUAUUGCGAUUUUCCGAUGAAUGAAAAUUCGGAUGAACGCCUUUAGUCCCUCUGGCUUAUAGACUGAUGAGUUCCCCCUGCAAACUUCAUUGUUAUUGUCUCAAAUACUUAAUUAUUUCCUCUUUAAUUUCCUCGUUGAAUAAAAGGAUAUUCACGUUCUUUUUUAGUUAACAAUUAAUGAAAAUUCACGGUACCUUGUAAUAACUCUUU